CCUACGGGGGGCAGCAGUGGGGAAUAUUGCGCAAUGGGCGAAAGCCUGACGCAGCGACGCCGCGUGCAGGACGACGGCUCUACGAGUUGUAAACUGCUUUUGUACCGGGGUAAAAUGCCUUACGUGUAGGGUUUUGAAAGUACGGUACGAAUACGGAUCGGCUAACUCCGUGCCAGCAGCCGCGGUAAUACGGAGGAUCCGAGCGUUAUCCGGAUUCAUUGGGUGUAAAGGGUGCGUAGGUUGUUUUAUAAGUUAGCGGUGAAAUACCGAUGCUCAACAUCGGGGCUGCCGCUAAUACUGUAGGACUAGAGAUCGGAUGCAGCAGGCGGAAUGUGUAGUGUAGCGGUGAAAUGCAUAGAUAUUACACAGAACACCGAUUGCGAAGGCAGCUUGCUAGGCCGGAUCUGACACUGAUGCACGAAAGCGUGGGGAUCGAACAGGAUUAGAUACCCUAGUAGUC
rnacentral:rRNA from 1 species